UACGUAGGGUGCGAGCGUUAAUCGGAGUUACUGGGCGUAAAGCGUGCGCAGGCGGUUCGUUGUGUCGGCGGUGAAAGCCCCGGGCUUAACCUGGGAAUGGCCGUUGAAACUGGCGAACUGGAGUGUGGCAGAGGGGGGUGGAAUUCCGCGUGUAGCAGUGAAAUGCGUAGAGAUGCGGAGGAACACCGAUGGCGAAGGCAGCCCCCUGGGCUGACACUGACGCUCAGGCACGAAAGCGUGGGGAGCAAACAGG
rnacentral:rRNA from 1 species